AUGGCCCUGAGGACUCCUGCUCUGUCUCUAGUAAUUUGGCUACUCUGGCUCUCAGGUACCAGAUGUGACAUUCAAGUAACACAAUCUCCAUCCUUCCUGUCAGUGUCUGUAGGAGGCAAAGUGACCAUCACUUGCCUGGCAAGUCAGAGCAUUAGCAAUAACUUUAACUGGUACCAGCAGAGAUCAGGAGAAGCUCCUACACUCUUGAUCUAUUAUGCAAAUAAUUUGCAAUCUGGUGUACCAUCAAGGUUCAGUGGCCAAUAUUCUGGGAAAAGUUUCACUCUAUCCAUCAGUAGCCUGGAAUCUGAAGAAGUUGGAACUUAUUAUUGUCUACAGCAUUACAGUUUUCCUCACACAAUGAUACAAAUCAUGACAUAAACCACAGAAGGAAGCAGAAGUUGGAGUCUAUGCUGUCCCAGGUGCUGCUCCUUUUCUGUGAACGUGCUCACAAUACUUGUAUAUCAAGAAACAGUUCUGCUUGAAAGUCCCCAGAUAUCUGAUUAUUAAUCGUGUUCUCUCUGGUUCUCUGCCAGCAUUCUGUAUGCAUCUACCACAACAGUGGCAAUAAACUGCCUAGCAAAAUGGUCCUUGGAUAUUUCUGGGCAAUUUAAGGAGACACAAAUGAUGCUUUAAUAUGUAUGUGACAUACCACAGGAGAAAAGCUGAAUCCUUGCCUCAUAUGGUUUACCACAAAUGCUGGAUAGACAGUGAAAAUCCUUUCCUUUGAUUUCAAAUUGUAGGAAGGACGUCUAUGGAGCAACUCUAAGGAAACAAAA